GAUGAACGCUGGCGGCGUGCCUAAUACAUGCCAGUCGAGCGAACGGACGAGAAGCUUGCUUUUCUGAUGUUAGCGGCGGACGGGUGAGUAACACGUGGAUAACCUACCUAUAAGACUGGGAUAACUUCGGGAAACCGGAGCUAAUACCGGAUAAUAUUUUGAACCGCAUGGUUCAAAAGUGAAAGACGGUCUUGCUGUCACUUAUAGAUGGAUCCGCGCUGCAUUAGCUAGUUGGUAAGGUAACGGCUUACCAAGGCAACGAUGCAUAGCCGACCUGAGAGGGUGAUCGGCCACACUGGAACUGAGACACGGUCCAGACUCCUACGGGAGGCAGCAGUAGGGAAUCUCCCGCAAUGGGCGAAAGCCUGACGGAGCAACGCCGCGUGAGUGAUGAAGGUCUUCGGAUCGUAAAACUCUGUUAUUAGGGAAGAACAUAUGUGUAAGUAACUGUGCACAUCUUGACGGUACCUAAUCAGAAAGCCACGGCUAACUACGUG
rnacentral:rRNA from 1 species